rnacentral:rRNA from 1 species
UGGGGAAUAUUGGACAAUGGGGGCAACCCUGAUCCAGCCAUGCCGCGUGAGUGAUGAAGGCCCUAGGGUUGUAAAGCUCUUUUGUGCGGGAAGAUAAUGACGGUACCGCAAGAAUAAGCCCCCGGCUAACUUCGUGCCAGCAGCCGCGGUAAUACGAAGGGGGCUAGCGUUGCUCGGAAUCACUGGGCGUAAAGGGUGCGUAGGCGGGUUUCUAAGUCAGAGGUGAAAGCCUGGAGCUCAACUCCAGAACUGCCUUUGAUACUGGAAGUCUUGAGUAUGGCAGAGGUGAGUGGAACUGCGAGUGUAGAGGUGAAAUUCGUAGAUAUUCGCAAGAACACCAGUGGCGAAGGCGGCUCACUGGGCCAUUACUGACGCUGAGGCACGAAAAGCGUGGGGAGCAAAACAGGAUUAGAUACCCUGGUAGUCCACGCCGUAAACGAUGAAUGCCAGCCNUUAGUGGGUUUUACUCACUAGUGGCGCAGCUAACGCUUUUAAGCAUUCCGCCUGGGGAGUACGGUCGCAAGAUUAAAAACUC